rnacentral:rRNA from 1 species
GACGAACGCUGGCGGCGUGCUUAACACAUGCAAGUCGAACGAACUCGGACUUCGGUCCAUAUGGGUGAGUGGCGAACGGGUGAGUAACACGUGAGAAACCUGCCCUGAAGUUCGGGAUAACUCAGAGAAAUUUGAGCUAAUACCGGAUGCCCUCUAUUGACCGCAUGGUUGGUUGAGGAAAGAUUUAUCGCUUUGGGAGGGUCUCGCGACCUAUCAGCUAGUUGGUGAGGUAAUGGCUCACCAAGGCAUCGACGGGUAGCUGGUCUGAGAGAACGAUCAGCCACACUGGAACUGAGACACGGUCCAG